rnacentral:rRNA from 1 species
GACGAACGCUGGCGGCGUGCUUAACACAUGCAAGUCGAACGGAAAGGCCCUGCUUUUGUGGGGUGCUCGAGUGGCGAACGGGUGAGUAACACGUGAGUAACCUGCCCUUGACUUUGGGAUAACUUCAGGAAACUGAGGCUAAUACCGGAUAGGAGCUCCUGCUGCAUGGUGGGGGUUGGAAAGUUUCGGCGGUUGGGGAUGGACUCGCGGCUUAUCAGCUUGUUGGUGGGGUAGUGGCUUACCAAGGCUUUGACGGGUAGCCGGCCUGAGAGGGUGACCGGCCACAUUGGGACUGAGAUACGGCCCAGACUCCUACUGGAGGCAGCAGUGGGGAAUAUUGCACAAUGGGCGGAAGCCUGAUGCAGCAACGCCGCGUGCGGGAUGACGGCCUUCGGGUUGUAAACCGCUUUCGCCUGUGACGAAGCGUGAGUGACGGUAAUGGGUAAAGAAGCACCGGCUAACUACGUG